CGUACACUCCUACGGGAGGCAGCAGUGGGGAAUAUUGCACAAUGGGCGCAAGCCUGAUGCAGCCAUGCCGCGUGUAUGAAGAAGGCCUUCGGGUUGUAAAGUACUUUCAGCGGGGAGGAAGGCAAUACGGUUAAUAACCGUGUUGAUUGACGUUACCCGCAGAAGAAGCACCGGCUAACUCCGUGCCAGCAGCCGCGGUAAUACGGAGGGUGCAAGCGUUAAUCGGAAUUACUGGGCGUAAAGCGCACGCAGGCGGUCUGUCAAGUCGGAUGUGAAAUCCCCGGGCUCAACCUGGGAACUGCAUUCGAAACUGGCAGGCUUGAGUCUUGUAGAGGGGGGUAGAAUUCCAGGUGUAGCGGUGAAAUGCGUAGAGAUCUGGAGGAAUACCGGUGGCGAAGGCGGCCCCCUGGACAAAGACUGACGCUCAGGUGCGAAAGCGUGGGGAGCAAACAGGAUUAGAAACCCGAGUAGUCCC
rnacentral:rRNA from 1 species